AUGGGCUGGGAAAUGGUUGCUGCAUAGCUGGGCCUGCUGAGGUCCAGCCUUGAACCCUAGAUAAAAACUUGGGACACUCCUUUCUAGGGUGUGUCCUUUGCAAUAAUGGGUGUGAGCAUUCUAUCAGCAGCUUGAUGGUCGUGCAUGGUACUGCCUACAUAU